AGCAGCCGCGGUAAUUCCAGCUCCAAUAGCGUAUAUUAAAGUUGUUGCAGUUAAAAAGCUCGUAGUUGAAUUUCGGGGUCAGUAGAUUGGUCGUGCCACUGGUAUGCACUGGUCUUACUGGCUCCUCCUUCCUGAUGAACCGUAAUGCCAUUAAUUUGGUGUUGCGGGGAGACUGGACUGUUACUUUGAAAAAAUUAGAGUGUUUAAAGCAGGCUAACGCUUGAAUACAUUAGCAUGGAAUAAUGAAAUAGGACGUUCGAUCUUAUUUUGUUGGUUUCUAAGAUUGACGUAAUGAUUAAUAGGGAUAGUUGGGGGCAUUAGUAUUCAAUUGUCAGAGGUGAAAUUCUUGGAUUUAUUGAAGACUAACUACUGCGAAAGCAUUUGCCAAGGAUGUUUUCAUUAAUCAAGAACGAAAGUUAGGGGAUCGAAGACGAUCAGAUACCGUCGUAGUCUUAACCAUAAACUAUGCCGACUAGGGAUCGGAUGAUGUUAAUUUUAUAAUGA
rnacentral:rRNA from 1 species